UGCGCAGCUACCAUGCAGUCGAGGGGUAUAGUUCUUCGGAACUAGAGACCGGCGCACGGGUGCGUAACGCGUAUGCAAUCUACCUUUUACAGAGGGAUAGCCCAGAGAAAUUUGGAUUAAUACCUCAUAGUAUAAUGACUCGGCAUCGAGAUAUUAUUAAAGUCACAACGGUAAAAGAUGAGCAUGCGUCCCAUUAGCUAGUUGGUAAGGUAACGGCUUACCAAGGCUACGAUGGGUAGGGGUCCUGAGAGGGAGAUCCCCCACACUGGUACUGAGACACGGACCAGACUCCUACGGGAGGCAGCAGUGAGGAAUAUUGGACAAUGGGCGCAAGCCUGAUCCAGCCAUGCCGCGUGCAGGAUGACGGUCCUAUGGAUUGUAAACUGCUUUUAUACGAGAAGAAACAACAUUACGUGUAAUGUCUUGACGGUAUCGUAAGAAUAAGGAUCGGCUAACUCCGUGCCAGCAGCCGCGGUAAUACGGAGGAUCCAAGCGUUAUCCGGAAUCAUUGGGUUUAAAGGGUCCGUAGGCGGUUUAAUAAGUCAGUGGUGAAAGCCCAUCGCUCAACGGUGGAACGGCCAUUGAUACUGUUAGACUUGAAUUAUUAGGAAGUAACUAGAAUAUGUAGUGUAGCGGUGAAAUGCUUAGAGAUUACAUGGAAUACCAAUUGCGAAGGCAGGUUACUACUAAUGGAUUGACGCUGAUGGACGAAAGCGUGGGUAGCGAACAGGAUUAGAUACCCUGGUAGUCCACGCCGUAAACGAUGGAUACUAGCUGUUGGGAGCAAUUUCAGUGGCUAAGCGAAAGUGAUAAGUAUCCCACCUGGGGAGUACGUUCGCAAGAAUGAACUCAG
rnacentral:rRNA from 1 species